rnacentral:rRNA from 1 species
UAGUCCACGCCGUAAACGAUGUCUAUUAGCCGCUGGUUCUGUUACGGAAUUGGUGGCGAAGCUAACGCGAUAAAUAGACCGCCUGGGGAGUACGGCCGCAAGGUUAAAACUCAAAUGAAUUGACGGGGCCCGCACAAGCGGUGGAGCAUGUGGUUUAAUUCGAAGCAACGCGAAGAACCUUACCUACUCUUGAAAUCCUGUGAAGUUACCAGAGAUGGUUUCGUGCCUUCGGGAACACAGUGACAGGUGCUGCAUGGCUGUCGUCAGCUCGUGUUGUGAAAUGUUGGGUUAAGUCCCGUAACGAGCGCAACCCCUAUCCUUAGUUGCCAGCGAGUAAAGUCGGGGACUCUAAGGGGACUGCCGGUGACAAACCGGAGGAAGGCGGGGAUGACGUCAAGUCAGCAUGGCCCUUACGAGUAGGGGCUACACACGUGCUACAAUGGGGGCUACAGAGGGGUUGCGAAGCCGCGAGGGUGGAGCUAAUCUCAGAAAGCGUCUCGUAGUCCGGGAUUGGGAGUCU